GACGGAGGAUGCAAGUGUUAUCCGGAAUCACUGGGCGUAAAGCGUCUGUAGGUGGUCAAAUAAGUCAACUGUUAAAUCUUGAGGCUCAACCUCAAAAUCGCAGUCGAAACUAUUAGACUAGAGUAUAGUAGGGGUAAAGGGAAUUUCCAGUGGAGCGGUGAAAUGCGUAGAGAUUGGAAAGAACACCGAUGGCGAAGGCACUUUACUGGGCUAUUACUAACACUGAGAGACGAAAGCUAGGGUAGCAAAUGGG
rnacentral:rRNA from 2 species